UAAAGGUGGUCAAAAAAAAUCUGGAAGACAGAGGUUGUGGGGUGGUAUCAGGUGUUUUGCUUGUUGUGACUGCUUCCAUUUGUGAGGUGUCCACUAAAUUAACAAUGAACUUGUCAUCUCCCUCACCUCCCUGCAGCAAGCUGCUCUGCAGCAGAUUUGAAGAAUUGCACACUGGCUCUACCACCUCUCCCCAGCCAGGACGAAGAACUGUUUUAUCUGGGGCUUGUUUACUGGAAAGAAAGUUCACUCUGGAUUGGAAAGGAACAUUAUUUUUCUGCCAGCAGGGAAGACUUCUCCAAUUACAGAGGAAAUGGAGAUACUUUAGAAAUAGCACACUUCAGCAGCAAUGAAGAUGUAACACCAGAAAGGUGAUGCUGGACAGACAAAAAUACAAAAGCACUUGUGAAUCUUCCAGGAGCUAGCCUGGAGCUCACUGCCACUUGUGCCCAUUGGGCCCCCACCACCCUGCUAAGUUCACUUUGCCCUUGGGAGCAUGGAGGGUUCGGUUAACCAGCUGCUAUGUAGUGAGCACUUGCUUCGUCCUACUGAUCCUGGUAGCCUCCUAGAUUCUGAACACUAGGCAUCCCUGUGCUAGAUUCUCAGAUUUGCAGCCACUCGCAUCGCUGCAUUGUGUGGGCCUUGUAUGACCUUGAUCUCCCAACUCAGAGAGAAAAAACUUCAUUGGACACAUCUUCCACAGGCUGAGGAGGGAAGGAAAUGGCUGUUUUAUGCUUUAAAGAAAGAUCAAGAGCAAAGUCAGAAAAGAGAACCUAACCACAUUUUUAACAACAAAUUUGUUGACAGAACAUGUUUAUAGAAAGAAAUGUGUUCAGAAUGGAUUCCUUCUGCUUGCAGGUGAUAUUUUGAACUGCGUGGGAUUGUUUAAGCUGAUUACAAUGGCGUGACAUGAGAAAAGGGAAAGAGACAGAGAUGACUCUUAAUGUUGUUUGCAGCUAGUUUAGUGCUCAUCUUGAAAUAAUUUUGUGCUCAAGCCAUUCAACAUGCAUCAUGAAAAAGAUAAUCAGCCUUUGUUUCUGGAUUCCUUUUAGCUUUAUUGUAGAAUAAUUUAAUUAAAAUAUAUUUUUAUUGUCAUUUUACUGCCUCUGUCUGCUCUUGUUACUGCUUUAAUUUCCUGGAAGAGAGA